ACAUCAACCUCUUGAAACAGUUAUUCUUUUGGGACCCGUAGCAUAUGUGUAGACAUGUGCACACAAAGAUAGAAGAUAUGCAAGUUCAUCAUGGAAGAAAGAAGGCAGACCAGCUCCAUGAACCAAGGUGCAGCUCCCAGCUCACUAUACUUGAGGCCACUGCAGUGCCACUUCACAUGGUGCAGGAGUAAACAUUGACCUUGCAGGUCUGAAAACAUCUGCCUUUAGUUAUUUCUCAUUUUGGAGAAAGAAGAUUUUGAAACUGAAGAUUUAAGUAAUUUGCCAGAGUCAGAAUGCUGUAAGCAUCAGAACUCGAUUUUCGAACUUAAGUUUAUCUGACUCAAAAGCUUUUGCCUUUCACCACCACCCUAUUGCUUCUAAAAUGUCAAACAUCGGCUGAACCACAGGACAGGUAUCCUAUAAAUGAGGAGGAUGUGGAUGCACCCCCAUGUGUACGUAAGGACACACGAGCUAAAGGCUUUACCUGACCCAGUAAAAGUGUCAAGCGCUCCAUCUCCAGUCGUGGCUGUGGUUUCACUGCUGUUCAAGGGCUCUGUUUUGACUGCAAGAAGAGACACUACGUAGAAGAAUAAGUACAUGGUAGAACAAAAUGGAAAAGUAGAAAUAAAACAUUUAUUCUGUCACAGAAAAUAAGCUGCAUUCAUACUAAGUGAGCAUCAACAAGCACCUCUUGAUCUCUAAGACAGCAAACCAAAAUCAUUACAUGCAAUAAAAUGGAAGCAAAAUCCUUUUAUAGAAGACAAGCACCGUAUUUCUCAACCAAAUGCAAGCUUACACACCAAAUGUUUUGAUUUCAAAAGAAACAAUAUUUUAAUGUCCUAGGUUGAAGAGUUUUGUGGGAUUAUUAUUCUGUAUCUUCAAAGUAAGUGAGUCAGAGCUCGUUUUGCUAAAAGUGGCAUAAAAUUACUUUCUAUACCACUUUGUCGAGAACCGUUAAGAAAUCCUUGUACUGUCAGGUCCCCCUCCCCACUAGUUAGCUACUUGCAAUUUGGAUGUUUCUGAUAGAGUCAAAUGGUAAAAAUAAAUAAACAUACAUGA
rnacentral:lncRNA from 1 species